rnacentral:tmRNA from 1 species
GGGGGUGCACUGGUUUCGACGGGUGUGAUUCGUGGUCUUGGGCUGCAAGUGAGGCUGCCUGUCCUCUGAACAGACAAAAACUAUAAUUGCCAAUUCUGACAAUUCUUACGACUACGCACUUGCUGCAUAAUCGCGGGCUUCAGAUUGCGCCGCUCUGAGCGGUCUGAAAGCCCGACGCUAACCGGAGCUUGCUUGAAGUGGUGUCUGGUACUCUUCAAGGACAUUUACCAGAAUACGGAGACGACGCUUGCGGUGCUGCUACCGUUUCCCGACAACUACCUCGCACUGCUAAACUUGUAGACGCUCUUGGUCCGCACAUUCGGACGGGAGUUCAAUUCUCCCCAUCUCCAA